CUCUGCUUCUAAAGGCACAGUGUGCCCGGAGCCGUGCUGCAUCCCCAAGUGCCAGCCUUAGAGCUGUGAGGGCUGGCACUGCCGGGGGUCCUGCUGCUCCUUCCUGACUGCUGGGAUCUGGGGGGCGCACCCCUGCCGUGCUCUGCUCCUCGGGGAUUUGCUCUGCUCUGCAGAUCGUGUGCAAGGAAGGGAGGAAAGGUCUGUCAGGACAAAGGGCAGGUGGGGAGCGUGGUACCCCAGCAGGAUCCGCUCUGCCAGCCCUGCUGAGGGGCAGAAACCAGCAGGGCAGGAACCCACACGCAGCACGAGACGUGGGUUUGCCAGAGCUGGUGCUGCUGCAGCCCCUCCAACCACAGAAAGCACCGUGCUGUUGCUGGGCCAGGCACCCACGCAGUGCUGAUUGGCCUCAGCUGAGCUGACAUCACUGCUCCCGUCCCAGUGGCAAACCCCGGGCAGGAAGCACCUGGAGGAGUCUGACCCCACGCCAUGUACUGGGGAGGGUGGAGGCUGGGUUUCACUUCUGCUGACGUUGCUUUUCUGACAGCCCCAACCCAGCAGGAAGGACAGGUGGGGCAGAGCAAAGGGCACCGGGCAGCACUCCGGCCCAGGACACGUCGGGGAUGAAUGCUGGUUUAUGCAACGUGCCAAUCGCUGAUGGCAGGGGGCACCGACCGACCUGGGCUCCUUGAAUCAGACGCUUCCAGCAG
ensembl:lncRNA